AUUGAACGCUGGCGGCAUGCCUAACACAUUCAAGUCGACCGAGCGGCGGACGGGUGAGUAAUGUAUGGGGACUGCCCGCUAGAGGGGGCUAACUCCUGGAAACGGUAGCUAAUACCGCAUACUAUCGGAUAACCCAUAUGGGAUUAGCUAGUAGGUGAGGUAAUGGCUCACCUAGGGGCCGAUCCCUUGCUGGUCUGAGAGGAUGAUCAGCCACACUGGUACUGAGACACGGCCCAGACUCCUACGGAGGCAGCAUUGGGGAAUAUUGCACAAUGGGCGCAAGCCUGAUGCAGCCAUGCCGCGUGUAUGAAGAAGGCCCUAGGGUUGUAAAGUACUUUCAGUCGGGAGGCGUUACCGACAGAAGAAGCACCGGCUAACUCCGUGCCAGCAGCCGCGGUAAUUC
rnacentral:rRNA from 1 species